rnacentral:rRNA from 1 species
AAGGCUCUCGCUCGUAGAGGGGCUCGCGCACCAUCAGCUUGUUGGCGGGGUAACGGCCCACCAAGGCCUACGGUUAGCUGGUCUGAGAGGAUGACCAGCCCCACUGGGACUGAGAUACUGCCCAGACUCCUACGGGAGGCUGCAGUCGAGGAUCAUUUGCAAUGGGCGAAAGCCUGACAAUGCGACGCUGCGUGGAGGAUGAAGGCCUUCGGGUUGUAAACUCCUGUCAUGGGGGAACAGGCGAGGAUACCUAAUACGUAUCUUAGUUGAGUGUACCCCAAGAGGAAUUGGCGGCUAACUCUGUGCCAGCAGCCGCGGUAAUACAGAGGCCAAGAGCGUUGUUCGGAUUUACUGGGCGUAAAGGGCGCGUAGGCGGCGAGGCGUGUCGGAUGUGAAAUCUCCGGGCUCAACCCGGAAAGUGCGUCCGAAACUACCUUGCUGGAGUCCGGGAGAGGGAAUCGGAAUAUAGGGUGUAGCGGUGAAAUGCGUUGAUAUCCUGUAGAACACCGGAGGCGAAGGCGGAUUCCUUGAACGGUACUGACGCUGAGGCGCGAAAGUCGGGGGAGCAAACAGAAUUAGAUACCCUGGUAGUCCCGACCCUAAACGGUGCACGCUAGGGGUGGGCCCAUUUCCCCCGGGCCCCGUCCCUCAACCUAACCCCGUUAAGCGUGCCCGCCUGGGGAGUACGGCCGCAAGGCUAAAACUCAAAGAAAUUGACGGGGGCCCGCACAAGCAGAGGAGCAUGUGGCUUAAUUCGAUGAUACGCGAGGAACCUUACCCGGGCUUGAACUGCAGCGGAAGGAUACAGAGAUGUUGACGUCCUUCGGGACCGCUGUGGAGGUGCUGCAUGGUUGUCGUCAGCUCGUGCCGUGAGGUGUCGGCUUAAGUGCCAUAACGAGCGCAACCCUUUUCAUCAGUUGCCAUCAGGUGAUGCUGGGCACUCUGGUGAUACUGCCACCGUAAGGUGUGAGGAAGGUGGGGAUGACGUCAAAUCAGCACGGCCCUUACGUCCGGGGCUACACACGUGUUACAAUGGGGUAUACAGAAGGCGGGAUCACGGCAACGUGGUUCAAAUCUUUAAAGUGCUCCUCAGUUCGGAUUGGGGUCUGCAACCCGACCCCAUGAAGCUGGAUUCGCUAGUAAUCGCGCAUCAGCCAUGGCGCGGUGGAUACGUUCCCGGGCCUUGUACUCAACGCCCGUCA